rnacentral:rRNA from 1 species
AUUGAACGCUGGCGGCAGGCUUAACACAUGCAAGUCGAACGGUAACAGGAAGAAACUUGUUUUUUUGCUGACGAGUGGCGGACGGGUGAGUAAUGCUUGGGAAUCUGCUCUAUGGCGGGGGAUAACUACGGGAAACUGUAGCUAAUACCGCGUAAUAUCGAGAGAUUAAAGUGUGGGACCGUAAGGCCACAUGCCAUAGAGUGAGCCCAAGUGGGAUUAGGUAGUUGGUGGGGUAAAGGCCUACCAAGCCGUCGAUCCCUAGCUGGUCUGAGAGGAUGACCAGCCACACUGGGACUGAGACACGGCCCAGACUCCUACGGGAGGCAGCAGUGGGGAAUAUUGCACAAUGGGCGCAAGCCUGAUGCAGCCAUGCCGCGUGAAUGAAGAAGGCCUUCGGGUUGUAAAGUUCUUUCGGUGGUGAGGAAGGUUGUAAUGUUAAUAGCAUUAUAAUUUGACGUUAGCCACAGAAGAAGCACCGGCUAACUCCGUGCCAGCAGCCGCGGUAAUACGGAGGGUGCGAGCGUUAAUCGGAAUAACUGGGCGUAAAGGGCACGCAGGCGGAUACUUAAGUGAGGUGUGAAAGCCCUGGGCUUAACCUAGGAAUUGCAUUUCAUACUGGGUAUCUAGAGUAUUUUAGGGAGGGGUAGAAUUCCACGUGUAGCGGUGAAAUGCGUAGAGAUGUGGAGGAAUACCGAAGGCGAAGGCAGCCCCUUGGGGGAAUACUGACGCUCAUGUGCGAAAGCGUGGGGAGCAAACAGG